CCUACGGGGGGCUGCAGUGGGGAAUAUUGGACAAUGGGGGGAACCCUGAUCCAGCCAUGCCGCGUGUGUGAAGAAGGCCCUCGGGUUGUAAAGCACUUUCAGUGAGGAAGAACGCCUGGUGGUUAAUACCCAUCAGGAAAGACAUCACUCACAGAAGAAGCACCGGCUAACUCCGUGCCAGCAGCCGCGGUAAUACGGAGGGUGCGAGCGUUAAUCGGAAUUACUGGGCGUAAAGCGCGCGUAGGUGGCUUGAUAAGCCGGUUGUGAAAGCCCCGGGCUCAACCUGGCAACGGCAUCCGGAACUGUCAAGCUAGAGUGCAGGAGAGGAAGGUAGAAUUCCCGGUGUAGCGGUGAAAUGCGUAGAGAUCGGGAGGAAUACCAGUGGCGAAGGCGGCCUUCUGGACUGAAACUGACACUGAGGUGCGAAAGCGUGGGUAGCAAACAGGAUUAGAUACCCUAGUAGUC
rnacentral:rRNA from 1 species